GUCCUUGCCUAUGUGGGGCCUUCUGAGGUCCACGUGGCAACAAUAGCAGAUAUAGAGGUGUGCAGCCGUGCUUUGUGCUGGCAGAGACAGCCUGCACUGAUGCUGCAGCUGCACCCUGGUCUGCCAUUUCCUCAGAGCAGAGCGAGGGUGGGAUGGUAGUUGCUAUGGCAACCUGCUCUACUUGAGAGCAGCCAAAGGCCUCUCAGCACACUUUGGAAUUGCUUCCUUCUCAUUAUACUUCAGCAGUGGAAAAAGGUUUGUGUUUUUACAGGAAGAGCAGAUGUCUGUCAGCACAUGUUUCACACAAUGUAAUGUUAUAAACAUUCCACAACACAUUGUGUGUGAGUGUGGAACUUGAAGGGAAGGGCAGCUCACAAUACAAGAGCAGUUUCAUAUGGGAAAUCUUUAUUCAAGCAAUGCCAGGGAGUGAGCAAGGUGAAGGAAGCCUGUGGAAAAUUAAGUGAUGACACUAAACUGAUUAGCUGCUUAACAAUUAUCUAGUGAUAUUACUGUUUCUAGACUAUAUGUGCUUUCAGUAUAUGUCCUAGAGUGUGCAGUUCUUCUCUCCCCUGUAAAUAUUCUAUGCUGUGCUAUACAAAAUGGCUGGUGAAUGUGCCUUACACAUCAGAGAGUGAAGCAUGAAAGUACAAUGGGCAUUUGUAUCUAAAGGAUAUAAAGGACUGUACAGGGAAUCUGCUGCUGGUUUAGUGAUGUCCAGUGGAUCCGCUGGAAAUAUAUUCUAUUCUGAAAUGUAAUCCUAUUCACAAACUAGACUGGUAUGUAAUUGGUAGUGAUCAGCUGUUUCAUGCCACCAUGUAAUUACAUGGUUAUUCUAUUCUUUGUAUUCUUGCUUAUGAAUAUCUAAUUAGCAUAAAAAUUUUACAGUGACUUCUUAAUAACAUGUAGUAUGCUAAAUGUUACUAUUGGAUUAUGGGGUAAUCUGAUUUAUUGAAAUCCCUGAACAACCAUUCUUAACUUCAAUAUGAACAUACAGGAUCUGCUGACAUGGCUACCUUCUGGUCUGAGAGCACUCAAGAGAACUGCCUAUGACAAAUAUACCUUGCUUGGCUUUCUUGCUCCCUUCCAUUGAAACAUGCUUUGACUAGAAUAUAUGUGAGUGAAGAAGAAAACUUAAAAUUUCACACUGCCUAUUCCUUGUUACCUCUCUAUCCUGGUAUUAACAAUUGAGUGUAAUUGAUACAGUAAGCACAAAAUCUAAACACAAAAUUGAUGUUUGGAGCAAAUUAUGCACUCAGCUCAUGUAAAACUAUGAAACUAUUUUUGCUUAAAUUGUUUUUGGGAAUAUCCCACUGAAACUGAUGGUUGAAUCUCUAUAUGGAACCAGUGCAUAUGCGCUCUUCAACAAUGAUCAAGGUCUGAGAUGGUAAAUCUCAAUGUCAGUCCAAGCAUCUAGAAUUGUGAAUUGACCAUGUAAUUACUUAUUUGAGAAGAGGUGCAUUAGUAAUUUGCUUAUGCUGAAUUUAAGUCCUGUUUAUAUCCAUUUGUUCCAAGAUUCCAGUUUGUUAAUAUCUCUGGAACUGUGUAUGUGUUUUUGGAUUACACCUAACUGUAGGAGCCCCUAUUUACUCAGAGUGUAGCUGAAGCCUGAUAAACAUCGAAUAAUAUGGUAAAGGUACAUAUUUAACAGCUAGUGGCUUUCUCAUGUAAACACCAAAUAAAAUUCUGUUGCAAAAGUUUUGUUUGUAAAAUGGCAAUUGAUAAAAAUAAGACAGACUCUGGUGUAACAUCCAAGUCUUUGUUGGUAGCGAACAGAUGCUACACCAGCAGUCGUGGGACUUUCAGAGAACUACUAUGAAUAUGUUCACAGCAUGAGAAGAUGGGCAACAUGCUGCUAAAAUGCUGCUUUCCAAAUCCCAGUCCUGCUACAGUUCUGUUACAGUGCCUGCCUUGAUUCGAAGGCAUGCUUAAAAAAGACCCAUUUAUGAUCUAACAUCCUGAAAUUGUGUCAGUGAUUUUAUAGUUUAAUCUGUUUAGGGCUGAAGGGCUGGGAAGGAAAAGAUCGAUCUUACUAUAUCCUGAUGUUGAACAAUCUGUAUUUGGCUUUGAGAUUCUUGGUUCAAUUGCUAAUCAAAAGUUUUCACAGAUCGUAAAAUGACUUAAAGAAAGGAUUUAAUUAGCCAGAUUCAUUUUUUUUUACAACAUACAUAAAAAGCCACUGUACAAUGUCACAAGGAAUUUUUAUUUUUGAUUAUUAGCCAUUAUUUAGAAGAGAUGGAUGCUGUUGGGCAAAGUUUCUUUCAUCUUUAUCAGGGUACUGCAGGGGCUGGGCAUGAGGAAUGUUGGGUGUCUCCAGUUUGGCCAGGCAGGGCCCUUCCCAGCAGGAGCAGGACCCUGAGGGCAGCUCCAGGGAGCGGGCACUCCCUAAGGCAGGGCUGAGCCAAGGCUGGACCAGGCCAUGCCAUGGGCCUGUGGGUGUGUCUGGCUGGGCAGGGGCCAUGGCCCAGGCAGGGAGGGUCUGUGGAGAGCUGGAGCCUGGACUUGCUGCUGUCUUGCUGAUUGGCCCUAGUGCAUGGUUUUGUCACAUUUUGCUGUGAGAAAAGCCUUUAAUUCUUUAAUUGCUUCAUAAAGCAAGUACGACUGAUGAGAGUGUGAGGACAGGAAUGGAGCAGAAAUCAUCCUAUUCUAAUGUUGUUAUUGUGAUGAUAAAUAUUCAGAGGAUUAAGGGAAACUUCUACAAAAUGUUAUGCUCUUUGGAUAAAGCAGUAUCUCACUGAGGAGUUAAACCCUACAUCCUGGAAAGUGAAUCCAAGCUUCUAGACAAUGUACUGGUAGCUUUUAAAAUAAAUUUGUACUGCUUUGGAGGUGGUAUACUUACAGCUUACAUCUUAUGUAAUUGAUUUGAAAAUUCCAUCCUGCAGUGAUCAGAUUCAUAGUGUCAUUACAGCUAGCCACACAACUAUUUAGGUAAUGUAGCCCAGUGUCAUUAGUAUCAUAUAUGAGUACCUCAUUAUAAAACAUUUCUUUUCCCGUGUUUACAGACUUUUAAAAUUAUAUUAUGAAGCUAAUUAUUAAUCCUGUAACAGAAUUGGUAGAUAGCUAUUAUGUACUUUGUUCAUGCUUAUACUUAAUGCUCACAUGUUUUGUGGUAGAGAACUGAAGAAAACUUAUCUUGGCCUCUCAAAUAAAAUCACUUUGUAUCUUUUUUGUAUGUACUUCUAUUCUGCUGAGAAGAAUGGAAAUAUUACUACUAGAGGCAAGAUUUCUAUCUUAGUGCUGGAUCUUUCGUUCUUACGCUCCUCUCUCUUUUUUUUUUUUGUUUCCCAAAGGCUAGCUAGUGUUCUCUUAUUUAGCAAAGCUGUAUUUCAGUUCUAGUUUAUGUAUACAUGUAUGUGACUUUGCUACUGGAAAAUGGUUGUGGGUUAUUCCAUGCAGCAUCUGAGAGGAAGGAUGGAAAAUGAAAUUGGACUGCAACAGCAGUUUUGAAGGGAAGUGGUUCCCACUGCCCAAGGCCAACUUUGAGGAAAUGAAGCUCUGUUUUGCAAAGCAAGAUGCAGUCUAUCAGAAGCUUAUUGUAUGUUUCACAGGACUGUGAAUUCCCAUAACCUUAACUGAACUUUUUGAGACUUUCUUGGUGUUGGUUUUCUAAAGCUUUGACUCUUAGGAUCAUGUAUUAGGUCUGCAUGGUUUUGCUUGAGAGUAACUUUUAUACUCCUCAUGGUUAUACAACAAAAGCUUUACAAGUGAUUUGAAUAAAAUCUAUUUGUCAAAAGCAAA